CGUUCUCUGAAUAAAGCUACAGAAACCUUUUGCAGAAAGCUGAGUCCUUGCCUAAUUAUUAUAACCCAUUGUCUUACAAACCUUGGGCAUUAGUCAAGGCGAAUUGAUUAUUGAUUAUUAUCAUCAAGAUAUAAAAUUCUUUUAACAGUCUCUCACAUGGAUUAAUACUGGAGAAUGAGGGCUCGGUCGCCUUCUUAAUUGAGGGAUCCCCUAACCAAAUCACUGUAAAGGAUCAGACCUUUUUCCUGUGACAGACGCAAGUAUGAAACUCUCCAUAUAUCAUUUUGGAUUAAAGUUUGGUUGAAAUUAGAUUGUGUUGAGGUUGCCUUUUACGUUGCCUUACAAAUGUGUGUAAAUGUUUUUGCUCCUACCUAAGCCCCCACUAAAAUCUGUUCUGAAGAGCCAGAAAACAAACCAAUGCCAUUAAAUCCUUGCUUACACUGUAGGCCUGAAUGCUCAAAUCAGUUUUGUUUUCCAAAUCCGUUCUGGAAUACUGACUGUCCAAACUGUAAGUUACAAGUGACCACAUAGGAUGUGUGUGUUCAGACAGCAGUCAUUUGCUGACAUGGCUAAGCUAGUUGUCAUAGUAACAAUGGGUGUGUGCACAGUGGUGUAGGGUGAUUGGUGGUACUCUUGCUUCCUAUCACUUAGAAGUUAAAGAAUGUAGCAAGCUAAGGUGACAAUAAUGCUUUCCAUGGGCGUUUCAUACUGUAAGAAGACUUUUAAAGCCUCAAAGGAUAAGAUGUGACAGUUUGACAUGUGCUUGUCAAACUGUCAACAGACUAGACUAGCUAGCAAGCAACAAUAUAUAAAGGUGGUUUGAAAUGUGGCUUGAAAUAGCUAGUUCCAUGUGCUUUUCGGCUGCAGGAAAAAUAACGGAUUCGAAUAAGAUAUGCAAAAAAAUUGGAUUUGAGUCACUUCAAACUGCCAAUGUGAACAAGGCUUAAGAAGCAAAAGGCUACAAUAACCUAAUAAUCUGCCUAAUAACAGAUAUUUUUUAUGGUUCGGCCACCUUUUUGCAUCACCUGCAGUUGAAGGCAUUAACUUUAAUCAAAUCGCAUUUUAAUGGGAAAAAACAUUAAUUGCUACAGAAUGUAGUAAAUUUAUGUCAAAGCGCAUAUCAAAUUACAUUUUGUUUUACUACAAUGUAAAAACAAUUUAAACUGAGCCAUGUUGGUUUAAAAAGCUGACUCUUCUAAAUGAAAAUUGGUGGUGAGGGGAAAUGGCAAACUAAAACACCACUCAAGCCAGCAAGUGUGGGGAUGGGGAAAUGGCAAACUAAAACGCAAGCCACCAAGCGAUUAUAGUGAGGACCCUUCACAACGCAAGUCAACCCCUUAUUCUCAUUCUUGAUUGAUGUAUUUGGGAAAUGUAUUCUAAUUGUACCAAGAAUUGCCAUAUUGUACAAUAUUUUACUGCAGAGAAUCUUGAGCCUUCAUGCUCCAGGUUUAGGUAAUGUGGGAGACCGAGGUCUCCCUCUGCCUCUUCAGAUGACAGAUCCCCCUCACCAAAGCACUGCAAAGGCUCAGACCCCUUUCCUAUCCUCGAAGCAAAAUUUCACAAAAAGAGUCUUACAUCUCCUUUGUGUGAUCUGUGACCUUCUUAAAGGACAGCGCCCAAGUCUGGUUGAGAAAUUCAACUUCAACCUGAACGAGACAGAGAAAGAUUUACUAAAGAUGGAAGAGCAGCUAACGGACAACGAUUUUCAAAAAUGCAUGAUAUCUUAGGUCUCAAAGCUGAGGGGUAAAGACAUCCCAGACUGGGUGAAGAGAACAAUGCAUUGAACACUGACAAACGGCCUUGUGUUCUAUGCAGAACCCUGACAAACGGCCUUGUGUUCUAUACAGAACCUUGGCAAACGGCCUUGUGUUCUAUACAGAACCCUGACAAAUGGCCUCAUGUCAACAACGACUAUGAAAGGUAACAAAUGGAAAAGGGCCUUUGAGGACUCCAACAUUUGCAGUGUCAUUAUAGCAUGUAUGAGUCUUGGCGAAUCAAAGGCUACAGAGGCAGAUAUAUUACAGGCGAUGUCAACCUGCCUGAAAUAUGCACCUGGCCGCAAGGGGGCCAGUGGGAGGGCCAAUGAGAGUUCUUAAGAAGUUAAAGCAUCAAAGCCUGUUCUGACAGUGCAUUUUUUUGGUUUAUUGUAUAUCUGAUUUUGGUUUCCAGAAGCCUGUGGCAGAAAUUAAUUUUUUGGCUUAUAUAUUUUAUUUUUUUAUCGGCUUUUACAUUUAUUUUUUUUGUAUUUGUUUUUACAUGGACAAAGGUUUACACAAUGCUGUUCAAAGCUACAGCUCUAACUGUGUUACACAGAAUGACAAUAGCCUACAGUAAUAUAGACCCUAAAUCUGGAAGAUACAUUUUGCACCGUGAGAAGAAUUGUAUUAUUCAUAUCAGGGUACUUUUCAAGAGUGUGCAACAUCAGAAAGGUCCUAGUCCUAGCUUGUUUUCCUAUUCUUAGCUCAGCCUAGGGUUAUGUAAAGAGCCCUACAUCACAAAAUGGCAACUGCUCCAAUAUUUAAAUGGAGUUGAUUUAUUAGUCAAGUAUAGUUUUCAAUCUCUAAAGUACCUAAAUAAAAAAUAAAAAACAGUUGGCUGUCUUUUUGAGUGGGUGAAUAAAGGUUGAAAUCUCAUUGAUCAAUGUCUCAACCAAAUAUUACCCAAAUGUCCACAUUUGAAAUGACUGCUCAUUCAGAAAAAAAGACACCAUAAAUGUUUCAAAACAUCUUCACCAUCAAAAUAAACAACUUUAAAGUGGCCCUCCAGUCUCCUUUUCACCUCAUUUAAGACUUAACAAAAGUAACAUCGCAAUAGGUGGUCCAGGUAUGUCAUGACAGCACAAGUGAGGGGGUGGGCCUUUCCUCUUUUGUCCUCUAUAGUUACUCAAUCAAGGGGGAAGGCCAAUGACAUCAUGGAUUCCCAUCAGACCAGAUCCCUGAAUGCCCUGCCCGCCUCCU
rnacentral:lncRNA from 1 species